rnacentral:rRNA from 1 species
UGGCGGCGUAGCGCGGUGGUCCCACCUGACCCCAUGCCGAACUCAGAAGUGAAACGCCGUAGCGCCGAUGGUAGUGUGGGGUCUCCCCAUGCGAGAGUAGGGAACUGCCAGGUA